AUGUUUUCUGUAGCUCUGCUGCUGCUGCUGGCAGCUGGAUGUGUGAAGUGUGAACAGUUGACACAGCCAGCCUCUGUGACUGUGCAGCCAGGUCAGAGUCUGACCAUCACCUGUCAGGUCUCUUAUUCUGUUAGCAGCUACUACACAGCCUGGAUCAGACAGCCUGCAGGGAAAGGACUGGAGUGGAUUGGAAGAAUCACAUACUACAAAGAUUCACUGAAGAACCAGUUCAGUAUCGACUUAGACUCUUCCAGAAAAACAGCGACUCUAAACGGACUGAAUAUGCAGCCUGCAGACACUGCAGUGUAUUACUGUGCCAGAGAGCCACAGUGA